rnacentral:lncRNA from 1 species
AGAACACUGAAUGGCCAAAUUUGCAAAGUUCUUACCCAACUUUACAAAUCCUGCUGGUGUAGAUAUACUACAAAGCAGAAGUGACAGGUUAAAUUUCAAGAUUAUUUUAUAUUUGUAUGCAUUCCCUCAACAAAUACUUACAAAUUAGGUCCUGCUGAGGGGAGGCUUGCCCUUUAGUGAGGCAAGGCAGGCUACAAAACAUUCAAAAACCAAAUGGUGUAAUCAAUGCCCUCAGAGGAGAGUGCAGGGAACUGUGGGAGCCCACAGAGACUUGAGGAGCCCUAAUACUUGCAUUUCUCCUUAUUCACAUAUGCUUCCCUGCUAAUGACCAGGUAAUCUGAGGCAAGUUUUCUCCCAGCUACACCCUGAAUUCUUUGAAAUAAACCCAAUACAGGUACUUGAGUGUAUUUCCUGAGUUGACCUCUGGGACGAUAGCUACUAGGCUGUGCCCUUAGUGCUACAUAGAUUACAUAAACUGGAGAGCUGCAAGAGUUAAGAAACUGAAUUCAGCUACCUCUUGGGGAGCUGAGUGACUAUUCUAAAGAGAGAUGAAGUGGAUAGAAAUUCCUGUAUUCAGAAUUAGUGAUCAGGGUUACAAAUCUGGAGCUGAGCUGUGAGUGUUAGGUUCCCUACCUAUAAAAUAGGGGUAACAGUCUUCACCCUACCUACUGCAGAGAUCUUUGUGGAUGUUGAGUGAAAUAAUUGGUGUGAAAGUAGUUUUCAAUGGUGUAAUUUAGGGCAUAUCAUUUCCUUGUUGAAAACCCUUCAGUGAGAAUAAUAUUACCUAAAAGGGGUUGUUUUUAGAUUCAGUGAAAAAGUAGGUGCCAAAAUAAGUGGACUUUACUGUUCCUACCCACUGGCCUGUCCUGCUAGCUCUACCUCCAAACCAUAUACUGAAUCUGAGUACUUCACUCCCUCUUCUCUACCACCUCCCAGGCCUACCCCUGCAGUAUUCCAACUGGUCCCUCCACUUGCAAUUUGCCCUUCUCCAACAUACAUUUUAAAAUAGCAGUUAAGGGUAAUAUUUCUUAAAAUCUUUCAAUACCUUCCCAAUGCAUUUAGAGCAAUAAUUAAGUUCUUUCCUAUGGUCUACAAAAUCCCACCUGUUAUAGUCCCUGACACAUUACUCUACCUUAUUCUUUUUCAAUGCUUGUAUUACCAUCGGAACUUCUUUUUUUUAUUUCUCGCCUAUAUACUUCUCUACAAUGUAAGCUUCACAAGGACAAAGACAAGCUGUGUCCCUGGAGCCUACCGAUGUCUGGUA